rnacentral:rRNA from 1 species
AGCGGGUGAAAAGCCCGCUCGCCGGAAGACCAAGGGUUCCUGUCCAACGUUAAUCGGGGCAGGGUGAGUCGACCCCUAAGGCGAGGCCGAAAGGCGUAGUCGAUGGGAAACGGGUUAAUAUUCCCGUACUUGGUGUUACUGCGAAGGGGGGACGGAGAAGGCUAUGUUGGCCGGGCGACGGUUGUCCCGGUUUAAGCGUGUAGGUGUGUGUUCCAGGUAAAUCCGGUUCACUUUAACACUGAGGCGUGACGACGAGGCACUACGGUGCUGAAGCAACAAAUGCCCUGCUUCCAGGAAAAGCCUCUAAGCAUCAGGUAACAUCAAAUCGUACCCCAAACCGACACAGGUGGUCAGGUAGAGAAUACCAAGGCGCUUGAGAGAACUCGGGUGAAGGAACUAGGCAAAAUGGUGCCGUAACUUCGGGAGAAGGCACGCUGACAUGUAGGUGAAGUGAUUUACUCACGGAGCUGAAGUCAGUCGAAGAUACCAGCUGGCUGCAACUGUUUAUUAAAAACACAGCACUGUGCAAACACGAAAGUGGACGUAUACGGUGUGACGCCUGCCCGGUGCCGGAAGGUUAAUUGAUGGGGUCAGCGCAAGCGAAGCUCCUGAUCGAAGCCCCGGUAAACGGCGGCCGUAACUAUAACGGUCCUAAGGUAGCGAAAUUCCUUGUCGGGUAAGUUCCGACCUGCACGAAUGGCGUAAUGAUGGCCAGGCUGUCUCCACCCGAGACUCAGUGAAAUUGAACUCGCUGUGAAGAUGCAGUGUACCCGCGGCAAGACGGAAAGACCCCGUGAACCUUUACUAUAGCUUGACACUGAACAUUGAGCCUUGAUGUGUAGGAUAGGUGGGAGGCUUUGAAGUGUGGACGCCAGUCUGCAUGGAGCCGACCUUGAAAUACCACCCUUUAAUGUUUGAUGUUCUAACGUGGACCCGUAAUCCGGGUUGCGGACAGUGUCUGGUGGGUAGUUUGACUGGGGCGGUCUCCUCCUAAAGAGUAACGGAGGAGCACGAAGGUUGGCUAAUCCUGGUCGGACAUCAGGAGGUUAGUGCAAUGGCAUAAGCCAGCUUGACUGCGAGCGUGACGGCGCGAGCAGGUGCGAAAGCAGGUCAUAGUGAUCCGGUGGUUCUGAAUGGAAGGGCCAUCGCUCAACGGAUAAAAGGUACUCCGGGGAUAACAGGCUGAUACCGCCCAAGAGUUCAUAUCGACGGCGGUGUUUGGCACCUCGAUGUCGGCUCAUCACAUCCUGGGGCUGAAGUAGGUCCCAAGGGUAUGGCUGUUCGCCAUUUAAAGUGGUACGCGAGCUGGGUUUAGAACGUCGUGAGACAGUUCGGUCCCUAUCUGCCGUGGGCGCUGGAGAACUGAGGGGGGCUGCUCCUAGUACGAGAGGACCGGAGUGGACGCAUCACUGGUGUUCGGGUUGUCAUGCCAAUGGCACUGCCCGGUAGCUAAAUGCGGAAGAGAUAAGUGCUGAAAGCAUCUAAGCACGAAACUUGCCCCGAGAUGAGUUCUCCCUGAGACUU